rnacentral:rRNA from 1 species
CACGCAGGCUGAAUUAUAAGUCGGUAGUAAAAGGCGGGGGCUCAACUUCCGUAUAUCUAUCGAUACUGUAAAUCUAGAGUAUGUGAGAGGGAAGCGGAAUUCCCGGUGUAGCGGUGAAAUGCGUAGAUAUCGGGAAGAACACCAGUGGCGAAGGCGGCUUCCUGGCACAAUACUGACGCUCAUGUGCGAAAGCUAGGGCAGCGAACG